rnacentral:lncRNA from 1 species
CUAGCCAUUUGAAAUUCUGAGGUGUAUGUUGGCUGUAGCAUAUUCAUUGUAGGAAUCAGAUCGCACCAAGAAGGGAUCUAUCAACCUCGGUAGAUGAGAGGAGUAGUCCUAUGAUGAUCAAAAGAUCAAGUCCUUAAACCCAUGGCCAUGGCAGAGUGAAAUAAUGGAAAAGAGUUUUUUAUUGAGAUUUCACAUCUGACUCGAAUCGAUCGAUUGAUUCAUAUGACUGAUAUUGG